rnacentral:lncRNA from 1 species
UGAAGCUGCUGAUCCAGAAAAUGAAGAAGAAAAUGCUGAUGGAGUGCAGAACAUGGAUGCAUCACCAGUACACUCUGCUGGAGAUGAGGAUAUUGCUGCUACAAGUCAAAAUGCAAUGGUUGCAUAUGAGGCACCUGAAUACAGAGGUGAACCUUUGUCUAUGUUUGAAAGACAAGUGCUAAGCAGGCUGGACACACUCACAUAUGAGCAAAAAGCACACUAUGAGAUGACCUACGCUAGGUUUCAACACUUGGAUGACCAACUUGAAGGAGUUCAAGUGCAGCUAGCUGAGCUUUAUUACAACAACAAGUGAUCCUAUUUCUAAGUCUUUAUCUUUUAUAUGUUGUUGAGCAAUUUGGAAUUAAUCUGUACUGUUUCGUUUCUGCACUGGUGUUUAGUUGUUUUGUGAUUUGUAAUGAACCUCUAUGGUUUGUUGGUUUUAUUUGAACUGUUAUGUAUGGCUAUU